GUCAGUCGACCACACUAACUGAAUGUGAGAAGAGAUCUUCCAAACUUAUGGUGUCAAAUUCCUUUGGCAGAGAAGGCCACUUAGUUGCAAGCUCCGAAGAAAUUCUUCCCAUUGUAGGUCGGGAUUGCGGAUUGGGAUGCAAGCAUGCAAGUGCUAUCUUCAUGAUAUGGACAGCACCCUCUGCUGCUCCUUUUUUAGGAAGCGAGAUGCGUUGGUCAAGCACAUCCUUCAACAAUGUCUGUUGAGAAAUCGGUGGCAUCGAAGAUGAUGAGGAAGUUGCUUGUGAUGAGAGUGUGGAGAUGAGAUCGCCUGGGUGCCUUCCCAUCAUCACUUCCAUUGUUACCACUCCGAAGCUAUAGACAUCACAUUUUUCAGUCACUUUCAUCGUGUAAGCUAGCUCUGCCACAAAAAAAUUGGUUUUGCUGUGUUUUAAUCACAUAGUUGCUAGAAAUAAAAUUGAUAAAAAAAAUUACUUAAGUAUUUAUAGUAUAAGCUAAAAACAUACUAUUAUUCUUACUAUUAUAGGAAGGAGGAACUUAAUGUUGAAGUAAAGCUACGCACCUGGAGCAGUAUAUCCAAAAGUACCUGCAAAUGAGGUCCAAUUGGAUGAGUCAGGCAUCAACAUUCUAGCUGUGCCGAAGUCAGAGACAUGUGCCUCAUAUUCCAAAUCCAGAAGGACAUUAUUGCUGGUAAUGUCUCGAUGAAUGAUCGGAGGAGAGGAAGAAUGGUGAAGAUAGGAUAAAGCUCCAGCCAUCCCUUUCACAACAUUUAGCCUUUUCAUCCAAUCCAGCUCAAUUGCUUGUUCCUCGGUGGUUAUGAUCUUUCUCAAGCUUCCUCUUUCUAUGAACUCAUAAACCAAAAAAGAGUGCUUUGCAUGUGAGCAAAAUCCAUACAGCUUCACAAUAUUUCGAUGUCGAAUAUUUGCCAAAACACAAACUUCCGUUUCAAAAGCUUUAAAAUCGGACAACUUGUCUGUUUGUGACCGGUGAAGUUUCUUCACAGCAACCACCCGUUCUUCUGGCAUCACUGCUUUAUAAACAAUUCCAUAUCCUCCUUCGCCAAUGCAGUAGUUGGAAUUGAAUUCCUCGGUAGCUGCAAUUAUAUUCUCAUACAACAACUUCCCAUCAUGGCCCAAUAUCGUGAAUAAGUUUCGAUCUUGUUCAAUAUUCCCUGGCUCAGCUUUUCUCUUCCUAGCUCUUUGGCGGAGAAUGAAUAAAGCUCCAAUCACAACAAUCACUAAGAGUAAGCUUCCUAAAAGAGGGAGUACAAUCAAAAUAACAAGUUUGUUGCUCUUUCUCUUAACAGUUCUGCUGCUUUUUGGAAGAUUGCAUGGCUUUAGACCACUGGCGUUGCCACAUAUACCCAUAUUAUCCCUUAAUGCCUCAAAUGAAGCGUUGUGGAAGGCUUUGAUAUCGGGAAUGGGGCCUUGUAGCUUAUUGGAUGAUAUAUCCACAACUGUCAAGCUUAAUAGAUCUUUGAAAGUGCGCGGAAUCAAUCCAGAAAGCAUGUUGUGAGAGACAUUCAGAGUUUCCAACAUUUGCAGUUGCCCAAGUUGCCACGGUAUCUCUUGAGCUAAGAAAUUGCAACUCAGAUCAAGAUCUUGAAGAGAACGCAGAAAGCCUAUCUCCUGUGGAAUGCUAUUUGUAAAUUUAUUAUCAGUGAGGUUCAGCAACAAUAAAUUUGAGCACUCCCCAAGUUGUUUUGGAAUCGAUCCACUUAGAUUAUUAGAUGCUAAAUCAAGGAUUUUGAGGGAAGAAAGCAUCUUGAUGUCUGAGGGAAUGGCACCUGAAAGAUGGUUGUUGCUAAGAGUAAGGUUGUACAACAACUUCAACCCCCCUAAUUCUUUUGAGAUGGUUCCUUCUAAGUGAUUUGAGGACAAAUCAAUCAAUUGUAAUUGAGUAGCCUUCCCGAGCUCUGCUGGUAUCUCCCCAGAAACAUUAUUGUUUGAGAUUUUCAAGCUCGUUAUGUUACGAUAAUCUCCCCAUUUCAAUGAAAGCUCACCAUAAAAAUUAUUGUAACUCAAAUCAACAUAAUCCAAAUGUGGAUAGAUGCCAAAAUCCUCAGAAAUAUUUCCUGUCAAUUGAUUCCUAUCAAGUCUUAGUCGGUGUAAACUGGUACAGUUUUUCAAGCUUUUCGGGAUGGAACCGGAGAAAUAGUUGUUGGCAACGGUAAGAUUUUCCAAUACUCCUCCAUGGCAUACCUCUUGUGGCAAAUGACCCGUGAAUUCGUUGUCAGACAAAUGAAAUUGCUUCAAAUGGGUGAGAUUGUUCAUCUCUAGGGGCAAUGGACCAUGAAGUUUGUUAUUAGCCAAGCUCAAUCCCACCAGAGAUUUAAGCUGUCCUAUUUCUGAAGGAAUGCGACCAGAGAGUUUGUUAUCCCAAAGAAAGAGAUUGGAUAGGUUUUUCAAAUUUCCAAUAGAGGAAGGAAUUGAACCAGUGAGAUUAUUCACAGCUAAUGAGAGACGGGAAAGAGACGUCAACUUUCCAAUUUCAUGUGGAAUGGAGCCACUAAAAAGAUUUCUACAUAAAACUAAAUCAGUGAUACUUUUCAGGGAGCCUAUCUCAGAUGGGAUACUUCCCGUGAGAUCAUUAUAACAUAAGCCCAACUGAGUAAUCUUGGAUAGAUUACCGAUAUGUGAUGGUAAGGUUCCAUGAAUUGAAUUGUUCGAAAGGUCAAGAACGGAAAGAUUGGGGAAGGAUGAGAAGUUGAAAUCAUAAAGCGUACCUCUCAAACCGAAGUGCGGGAAGGUCAGAUUGGCGACACUUCCAGAACCGUCGCAAGUGAUUCCAAUCCAAUCAAUGCAAGGGCUGGUGCCGACCCAAGAAGAAAGGAGAGAUUGGCUUUGGUUGUCAAGACUUGCUUUCCAUUUGAGAAGAGCCUCAGCUUCUUUAAUAUUACCUCCAGCAACUUUGGAAUUGGCAGCACUAGUAGCCGCACCAAAUAUCGAAGUUUUAGAGGAAGUGUGAUCAGCAAGAACAAAGAAAGAAGAGAAGUAGAACAUGUGAAGGAGCAAGAAGAUCAGGACGUGGAGAAAGAUUGAGAAGAAUGGUUUGUGCAGUAAGGACAUCAUGGUGUGUUUUCAAGAGAUGCAGAAUAUUAAUGGUUUGCUAUGCUAGAUGGAGAUCCUAGGCUACAUGCAGUGGUAUUUAUAGGAUAAGGAUUGGAGUCUUUCUUAAUUUCAUCGAAUAUUUAAAUCUGAGAUUUCCAGUUCAUCAAUAAUUUCUUCUCCCAUUGGAAAUCAUAAGAUGCGACAAAUAUUGUAGACAUUGACAAUGUUGACUUGCUUUUUACAUAGAAAUUUAUUUCUAUUUUUCAAAAAUAAAUCUCAUAAAUGGAAAUAUAAUAACAGGAGUAGUACCCAUCUAAAAAACUAAAUAAAAAUAAAAGAUAGCACAAUUCGUGUGUGCGCGAUUUCAAAAAUGUAGAACAUGUCUGAUGAGUCUGCACUCUCAUGAACUUGAUUUGUUGUUGAGCAAUAAAGCUUGCUUCAAGUCAUGACUCGUAGCUUCAUUUACCAGUGGGGCCUUUGCUAGAAAUUAACUUCAUGUAACGAAAGUCAGGUUGAUGAUUCAUGCAUCUGCACUGCAGAUCUGCAUUAUAUUUUUGUUAUCCAAGGAAGGUAUGAAGGGAUUAAUUAGAGGAUUUGCUGCAGAGAGAGAAAAGUAAAAAGAAGAACAUAGUUUUACUUUCUGUAAUCAACUAUUUUUAAGAAUAUUUUUUAUAUAUAGCCUUUUAAGGUAUUAACCUGAUAUAAUCUAAGACCCAACUAUUUGGCCAGGUCAAUUACCCUUGUUUAAUAACUAUGGCUACCACUAACCAAGAGAUUAGUAAAAUAAAUAAAAUAAUUAUGAGAGGCGUGAAUUAAAAACAACAUUAAUUUUUAUCAUAAUCUUUUUCUCUCUCGAAGACGGGAAAAUCCAUAUGAUUCGGGAGAGUUUGUUUUUGUGGCAGCUUUUAAGACAAAACACAAAAACAAGGUAUGUGAUUACAUUUGAAAUGCAAGUUUGUGCUUGUGAGACCCAUUACAUUUGAAACACAAGCUAUUCAAUCACAUGCUAACAAAAAAUAAUAUCAACAUGCUUAAAAUAAACUAUGUGUAUAAAUACCAAUAAAAAAAUUUGUUGGUAAAACUAUUAAAACUGAUAAUAAAACUACUUACUUUCAAGCUAUAGACUCAAAGUAUUUUAUUUAUGCAAGGAUAAAUCUAACAUUUUUAUAUAUAUUUUAUUUUAAGAUGUAACAUGUCUAAAAUCAAAUAUUAUAUGAUUUAUAGCUUCAAAAUCAAUUAUUCAUUGUAUAAUUAUUAAAAUUUAAACCUUUAGGGAAUUGCUAGAAUAAAAUCUAAUUAGGGAAUUGCUAGAAUAAAAAUCUAUUCAAGUAUUAGUCAGGAUCAAGAUGUGAUAUGUCUAAAAUCAAAUCAAAAUCAAUUAUUCAUUGUAUAAUUAUUAAAACCUUGAACCUUUCAUCUUAUAAUAAAAUACAAAGAAUUUAUAAUUAUAGCUUACAAAAUAAGACGUGAAUCAAUCACAAUCAUAAUAUCAUCAUAAAUGAAAAUUUACUCCUGUUUCUCUGGUGCUUGACACUGUUGAAAUUUCCAAAUCAUCUUUGUUUUCCCUUUCCAAAUAAUUGUCGGAAAGUCCAACGUUCACACGCUAUCUUGCUUAAGGGGCUGAAUAGUACUGUAGAUGGGUCCAUGGGGAUGGAAAAAUUGUAACUUGAUGGGCUCUCGCUGGGAGGAUAGUCGGCGGAUAUCAAGUAUAAAUAUCAACAGAAAAAUCUCUCGGAAAAACUUUUAAAUAUAGUCAUAAAACUCUUUGCUUUUCAGCUAUAGACUCAAAAUAUUUUAUUUAUGGAAGGAUAAAUCUAACAUUUUUAUAUGUAUUUUAUUUUAUCUUAUAUAUACCUCCAAUACCAUUUAAGAGGGUGGGUCUUGCUGCCAGCUUCUUACGUACGGUUGAUUAUUUUGCCUACUGAAGUUGUUAUAAUUUUUUCAAUGUGAUAGCGAGUGUUUGUUCAUGAUUUCUGCAAUGGAACUUAUCGUGCAAAUUGGGGUUGGAUUUUCUAAUGAAAUGAUGGAUACAACAUGAAGUUGGGAAUUCAUUGAUUAGUUGCGGUCUUCCUACGGUUGAUUAAUUUCUCAUACCUUCUCUCUAACUAUCAAUAUCAUGGGCUAAAACGCGUUGAUUUCUACUCUUAUGAAUUGUGCCAUGUACAAAAAUUACUAUUAUGCUUAAGAAAUUAUUCUCUUAAAACUUGUGUCAUUCUAUGUAUUAUGGUUAGGUAUCAAUCAUCUAUGCGUUUAACCAAUAAAAAAAAUAAGUUAACGUGACAAAUGACAAAAAAUUAUAUGUUUAUUAAUUGAUAAAUCAUUAUAAAAAGAGAGAGUAAAAACACAUAUAUAAAAAUAAAAAAGAAAACAAAUGAGCAAACAUCACCACUAAUUAUGUUGGUUUCAGAUUGCCUUGAUUGCUUUUGUUUUUUAUAGUGAAUUUGUUAAACUCGUAACUCUUCCUGCAUUUAACAAGCUUUAUUUUGCUUAUAAGAAAAAAAUAUUUGAUUUUUUAAAUAAAAAAAAAUACCAUAAAAAAAAUAUUUUUCUAAACUAAAUAGAAAUAAAAACAAUUAAGAAAACAAAGAAUUUGCCAUAAAAUCCUUUUGCAUCACCAUGCAUAUAUGCUCUCAUCUAAUGGAAUUGUUUCUAAUUAGUGUUUUUUUUAUAAAAAAAAAAAACCAUUGAAAUGGUCUACUAUCGAAACAUUGGUUAUGAAAUUUCAAAUUCAUCAAUAAUUUAUUCUCCCUUUCCAAAUCAUAGGAUGCAAUAAUAUUGUGGGCUCUCCCCCUAGUGUGUGCAAGUCCUAUAGAUAUUCACAAUGUUGACUCCCUUUUGUUCCGGGAAUUCCUGAACAAGUGUUAAAUUCAAUGACAAAUUAUACCAUUACAGUUUUUCCAUGAGACUUGUAACACAAACUUUUUCCAUGAGAUAGUUUAAACUCAACCUAAGUAUAUAAGAAAAAGUUAUAAGAGAAUUGUUUUUCCUUCUUUUAAUUCUUGUGGCUGUCGUGACCCUCCCCUCAUCAAACCAAGGAUUUCAUUUUUUAAUCUUGAGUUUUUGGGUGAUAGUUGACCGUUUGACCAAGUCAGUUUAUUUCUUACCAAUUGUCGCAUGUGUGAGGUUUCGCAAUGAGCGUCUUCUCGGAUGAUAUUGGGAAAUGAGAGAGACAAGGAUUUCUUGUCUUUUAUCAGUGGAAAGAGGGAAUGAGAAUCGCCACCUAUUAUUCUGGUCACUAAGAACCCUAACUAGUCUCAAAGAUCGGGCACGAGGACUGAUUGCGUAAAGGAAAUGUAUUAGCACCCUUAAUACGCCUUGCUUAAGGUAAGCUACAUUGUUUAAUUGUUUGAUAUAAAUUAAGAUAUUGUUGUGUUUUCUAAUUGUUGGUCUGUCUAAGGUUUAAGAAAAUUCAUUCUCAGUAAAGAGAUUCUUAUCUUAUCAAGUAAAACCUAAUCAUUAUAACAUUAACAAAAAAGAACUACCUUUUAUUUAAUAUUAGGAAUACGUCUUAUGUAUAAGUUUGUAAUCUCAGUUAUUAAAAGAAAACAAAAUAUUUUUUUUGGUAUUUUUGAAAUAUAGGCCUAGUUCUUAUAAUUUUAAUAAACUGAUUAUUAAAGCCCAAAAUGCAUGCUAAUACAUAAUUUUUUUUUGUAUGAAAAUACAAUAUGAAUUUUUUAUAUUUUUGAGAGACUUGGUUGUAUGCAUGAAAACAAGAUAUUUUUUGUUAUUUUUUUAUUUAAUUUUUUUUGUAUUAUUUCAGAGAAAACCAUGUAUUUUAAUACUGGAUUUGUAUCUUUACAGUAUAAAAAUACAAACUAAUAUUAAGAAAAAAUGAUAAAAAAAAAUAUACAAGAAAAUCAAAAAAAAAUUGAAAGGAUUUUUGAAUUUUUUUGUUUUUGUUUAAUAUAUAAUAUUUAUUAUAUAUUAUUAUUAUUAUUAUAUUAUAUAAUAUUAUAUUGGAUUGGGCCCAACCCAAUUAUAUGGUCUAAGCCCCUCCUGUUUGGGUCAAUGUCGGCCCAAAACAGGGGUUUUGCCGAUGUCGGCCUAAUAUAUAAUAUUUUCUUUUUAUUAGACUGGAGCGUCCCAGCCCAACCUUGUGGUUUGGGCCGGCACUGGUUUGGCUUAGUCAAUAGUGGAAAAGCUCUCCAUUGUUCAUGCAGAAUAAUGGAGAAGGAAGAGAUGCAAGAGAAGAAGAAGAAGAAGAAGAAGAAGAAAAGGAAGAAGAAGAAAGGGGAAGGUUGAGCUAGCAGUGACUUAACGGUGGUGCUAGUGGCAGAAUGACGGUGGUUUCAAAUGGCUACGGGGAGAAAAAUGAUGGUCUGCAGUGGCGACUGUUGCAGGAAGGGCAAUCUUCUCUGUUUUUUUUUGUUCUUUUGUUUUUUUCUCUGUCUUUUAUCUGUUUUCUUUAUCCCCGGUAUAGUUUUUUUUUCUUGUUCUUGUCAUUGUUUUUUUUGUCCUUCCUCUUCUUCUUUCCCUCUUUAUUUUUCCUUGUUUUUUCUUUCUUUCUUUUUUCGCUUCUAUUUUGUUUUUUCCUUUGCCCCUCUGUUUUUCCUUUCUUUUCUUUUUUUGUUCCACCAUCCUUUCAUCUCCCUCCUCACAGCUUGGUGAGGGGGUAUUUAUAAAGGGGAAAGGAAGAGAGCCACCCUACUUUUGUCCAGUCGCGCUGAAUGGGUAGGGUGGUUGGGCGGCCACUAGGCAGUCACCCAAGGCCGCCUGCAGGGCUUGUCCCCUCUGUGUUUUUGUCUGGUGGUAGGCCAUGGGUGUGGGUUGCGUCAGCUUUUUGGGUAUAUGGGAGAUAGAGUGAGAGAGACGCUGCAGGGGAGAAAAAUCCUUCUUCCCUUGCCUGCAGCCAUAGUUAUUAAACCCGGCCCAGGGGUUGACCUGACCAAGGGGCCGGGUCCCGGGUUUCAUGGGUCAACCCGGGUCAACUCGGGUCAACCCGGAUUAACCUGGAAAAAUUAAAAAAAAAUUAAAGUUUUAAUAUUUCAUAUGAAAAAAUCCAUGUAAAUAUAGAUUAUACAUAUUAUGAAGUUUAAAAAAAUAUUUUAAAAAGUUUUUUAUCCUACAUUAAAAAUAUAUUAUGUUAAGCUUUUAAGUUAAAGUAUUUAAACUAAAAAAGUUUUUUAUCCCACAUUGAAAAAACAUAACUUUUUUCUUGGAAACAUAGAGUAUAUAUACUAAUGAGUUUCAAAUCCCACAUUGAAAAGAUAAUAUAUUAUCCUUUUAAGUUGAAGUAUUUAAACCAUAAGGUUUUUUAUCCCACAUUGAAAAAACAUGGUUUUUUUCAUGGGAACAUAGAGUAUAUAUAUGAAAGGGUUUCAAAUCCCACAUUGAAAAGAUACCAUGUUAUCCUUUUAAGUUGAAGUAUUUAAACCAAAAGGUUUUUUAUCCCACAUUGAAAAAACAUGGUUUUUUUCAUGGGAACAUAUUGUAUAUAUAUGAAAGAGUUUCAAAUCCCACAUUGAAAAGAUACUAUGUUAUUCUUUUAAGUUGAAAUAUUUAAACCAAAAGGUUUUUUUAUCCCACAUUGAAAAAACAUGGUUUUUUCAUGGGAACAUAGUGUAUAUAUAUGAAAGGGCUUCAAAUCCCACAUUGAAAAGAUACUAUGUUAUCCUUUUAAGUUGAAAUAUUUAAACCAAAAGGUUUUUAUCCCACAUUGAAAAAACAUGGUUUUUUUCAUGGAAACAUAGAGUAUAUAUACUAAUGGGUUUCAAAUCCCACAUUUGAAAAAAAAAACCGGGUCUCGUCCGGGUUCGCCCGGGUCACCCGGGUUCCGGGUCGCCCGGGUUUGGUCGGGCUGUUGCCACAACCGGUCUUUUAUUAAACCCGGACCGGUCCAGCCACCGGGUCGACCGGGUCCCGGGUCGACCCGCCGGGCCGGGCCGGGUUUAAUAAUUGUGCCUGCAGCGUGUUCAUAGGAAGAAGAAGACAUAUAGUGUCGUUCAAAAUGACACUGUUUUGAGCUUUGUCUUUUUUUUUUUGAAUAACAGUAAACCAAACGAUGUGGUUUUAAACAAAACAUGUUAUUUCAUUUAAAAGAAAAUAUUGCCAAAAAGUUUUUAUUUCCAAAUCAGUCCUCAAUUUAUGAUUUAUUCAAUCAAGCCUUCAAUUGAGAUUUUGGUUUUAAGAAUCAAUUCAAUUGCAUCCCUGCCAAAUUCAAAUGUCAGCCCUAAAGUUGACCAUUUUUUUCACUUUGGUCCUUGAUUUUGAAUUUGUUCAUUUUGACCCUCAAUUGAUCAACAAACUUCUAAUUUCUUCAAUUUAGCCCCUGAUUCGGUCAAUUCCAGCCCUUAUAUUAGCGCCCCUUUUUCAGUUUAGUUCUUGGUUUUGGAUUUUUUUAAUCAAGUCCCUAAUUGCCCAUCAAACUUUAAUAUUUAUGCAAUUAAGCCCCUAAUUUGACCAAAUUAACAGUUAAAAAUUAUAAUUUGAUCCCUCCUAAACUUUAAUUUCUUUUAAUUAAAGCUCAAAUUGACUUAAAAAAUCAAUCUUCUUGUAAUUAAACCCUCCAUAAAUUCAAUUAAACCUUUAAUAAAAUCUAAUUGAGCCCUUAAACAUCCAAUUUUGAAUUUAUCUUUGUUAAAUUGAAUUUUCUUUACCAACAGGGCUUUUAUUAGUCGAAAAUAUAUUGUUAAAUUCCAAUCUUUGUAUUUUUUAACCUUCUCAACCAAACUUUGGCCAUUUUCAAGGCUCCUUGAUGUCCUUUUCUCACUAAUAUAUAUUUUUUGGUUUUUCUUCUGAUAAUUCUUGAUUUUUUUUUAUUUUCUUCUUUUUGUAUGGGGAUCCCAAAAAUGGGUAACAACACUAGUAAAGGUGACAUAUGGGUUUGCAAAACUAGUAGAAAUCUAUGUCAACGAGAUUAUAAGGUUGCACGAUGUGUCGAUCUCAAUUGUGUCCAACAAAGGUCCACAGUUCACUUUUCAAUUUUGGGUGAAGUUUCAGGAAGUUUUGGGGACUAACGUUCAGUUAAGUACUACUUUUCAUUCUCAGACCAAUAGAUAGUCUGAAAGGACUAUAUAGAUUUUGAAAGAUAUGUGAGAGCUUGUGUGAUUGACUUUGGAGUAGGAUGGAGCAAUUACUUGUCUUUGGUGGAGUUUGCUUAUAACAAUAGUUAUCAGGCAAGUAUUGAUAUGGCACUAUAUGAGACUUUGUAUAGCCGAAUGUGUAGAUCACCUGUAUGUUGGUAUGAGGUUGGUGAGAGGGGAUUAAUGGGCCCCGACUUAAUACAGAUUACUUUGGAUAAGAUUAAGGUGAUUCGAGAUAAACUUCAAACAGCUCAGAGUAGGCAAAAGAUUUAUGCGUAUAAGAGGAGGCGUAAUCUAGAAGUUUUAGUGGGUCACAAUGUGUUCCUGAAGUUCUCCCCGAUUAAAGGAAUAUUCAUAUUUAAUAAGAAAGGAAAAUUGAGUCCCAAGUUUAUAUGGUCAUUAGAGAUCUUGGAAAUAGUAGGGGCAAUGGCAUAUUGGUUUGCCUUGCCGCCUAAUCUAUCCUCCAUACAUCUAGUGUUCCAUGUUUUGAUGUUAAGAAAGUAUUUGUUUGAUUCAUCUCAUAUGCUGGAAAUUCAAUCGGUUGAGCUAAGGGAUGAUAUGUUGUACAAAGUCCAACCAAAGGAAAUAGUGGUUUGACAAGUUAAAAACUUUGAUUGAAGGAAAUCACAUCGGUUAAGGUUGUGUGGAGCGAACUCCCACGCAAAGAAGCGACAUAGAAGAAAUGCUUAACAAGUAUUCCAUACUUGUUUGAACUUGAUGGUUGACUUUGGUUCUUAAAGUUUAAAUUCGAGGAUGAAUUUUAUAUAACGGGGGAAGUGCUGUAAGACCCAAACUUUUAGCUCAAACCUAAGCCCAAGUCAGUGUAAACCCAACAUAAGUUAACCUAGGUAUAUAAGAAAAAGUUGCAAGAGAAUUAUUUCUCUCUUCUAAUUCUUGUGGUUGUCGUGAUCCUCCCCUCAUCAAAUUAAGAAUUUCAGUUUUUGAUCUUGAGUUUUUGAGUUCAAGAAAGGUGAAAGUAUCAAGUAAGUGGUUUCCUCUCAUGUUACUUUUGAUUAUGGUUUGUUUAUGGAAGGAUAAAAAAGAGAUUAGGGUUUAUAAAGUCUUGAAGUUUAUGUUGUUAAGAUUGAUUCAUGAUUAUUAUAGGUUUAAGGUUAAGUGAUUGAUUCUAGAUGUGUUGUUAGAAAUAAAGAUUUGUGAAUUGAUUUGUUAUGGGUUAAGAAAUUUGUUUCAACUUUGCUGGAAAAUCUAGAUAGAAUGGCUUGGGGUUGAAGAUGAUGAAAUUUUAUCUUGGUCCUUAAUUUAUAAAAAUUACAGUUUAGUCCCUUAACUUUGAAAAUUUAUAAUUUGACCCCGAAACAUGUUCUGGAAUUCUGGUUAGUAUUCUUAUGAGAUUAAAGAUGAUGAAUCUCAGUUUGAUAAUUGAUUUGUGUAAUUUUUAGUUUAGCCACUCUAUUUUGGAGAUUUACAGUUUAGUCCCUAAAUUUUUGAAAAAAAUAUAAUUUGGUCCCUAAAAUGUAAAUCGAGAUCCUGGAUAUAAUUAAGGAUGGAUUAUGGGUGAAAUUUUACUAUGGUUAUGUAUUUUUGGCUUUUACAGUUUGGUCAUCCAAUUCUAGAAAAAUUAUGUUUUAAUCCUUGAUUUCUAAAAAUUGUUGUUUUGGUCCCUGAUUUAUAAAAAUUGUUGUUUAUCCCUAAACUUAGGAGACUAAACCUGGUUUUCUUUUAUGAAUUGGAGUCUUUUAUUUGUGUUGUUUUAAGUUGUUUUUUUAGUAUAUUCUAUAUAUUUGUUGUAGGUAUUUCUAACGAUUCUCAAUAGGAUUUUCAGGUCUUUCAUCUAAUAUUCCUUUUACUUAUAUAUUUUUUGGGUGAGUUGGAUAAUAUUUAAUAUACAUGUAAUAUAAAUAAAUAUGUAUGUUGAUUAUAUGAUGAUUACAACUAGUUAAUUUCUUGAAUAUUUAUAUUUGUUGUUUUAUUUUCUUAGUACUUAUCUAUUCUUGAAUUUGCAUUCGCAUUCUAUUGAACUAAAUUCUAUGAUAUACAUUGCUUUGAUAAUUAUGUGAAUAUCUAUUAUGCCUUGAUAUAGAAAUUGUAAGUAACUUCAUGCUAACAUGACUAAUUUGUAGACUUCCUUGUUAAUUUUUGGGUAUCAUCUAGUGACCUUCAACUAUUAUCUGAUUUUUAAUAUGUAUUUCAUUACUUUAUAAUAAUAUACUUAGUCUACUAAAAAAACAAAUUUUCAAUUCUUCUUUCUCCUUUCCAAAUUCAUAGUUUGAAAGUGGUAUAUUCACACGCUAUCUUGCUCACGAUGCUGAAUAGUGUAACGUUAUGGGCUCUCACUAUGUAUUGGAAUCUUUUUCAUAAUUUCUUCUCCCUUUCCAAAUCAUUGCAUGCGACAAAUAUUGUGGGCUCGCCUGACUAAUUUGUGGACUUCCUUGUUCUUAAACAUAAUUUAUUAUGUUGAAGGAUGUUUUUCAUAUUGAAUUAUUGUAAUGACCUAUCUUUGUUUGUAAUUAAAGACAUAAAGACUCCAACUGUUAAUUUUGGCUAUAGGUGCAAUUUUCUCUAUGCAAUCAAUACUAUGGUUUAUAUAUAUAUCACAUCUAGCUGGUUUCUUUUUGUACAUUGUUAGUAAUAGAUAUGAAUGAUAAUUAAUUUACAAAUAAUGAAUUUAAUAUUAACAAAUGAUGAUGAGAUACUUAAUGACACAUAAAAUAUUUAACCUUAGUUUAUGUUCAUAUGUGAGAUUAAAGAAUACUACUAGGCCAAAAAUUAUCACACAAAAUCCUAAGUUUCAUUUUCUUGUUGGAAUUUCAUCUCUUGGUUCAUAGCUACUUUCCACCUCGAGUCAACAAAGCUUCUUGAAUAUUAUUUGGAAUAAAUAUAAAAAUAAUUAAUUUACAAAUAAUAAAUUUAAUAUUAAAAAAAUAAUGGUUAUACAGCUAAUUAAUAUAACUCAUAUAUAUGAUAUUUGACUUCAUUAGCCAAAAAUUAUCACAAAAGAUAAAUAAUCUAAUUAGGGAAUUGCUAGAAUAAAAUCUAUUCAAGUAUUAGUCAGGAUCAAGAAACUAAAAUUAAGAUGUGAUAUGUCUAAAAUCAAAUCAAAAUCAAUUACCCAUUGUAUAAUUAUUAAAACCUUGAACCUUUCAUCUUAUAAUAAAAUACAAAGAAUUUAUAAUUAUAGCUUACAAAAUAAGAUGUGCAUCAAUCACAAUCAUAAUAUCAUCAUAAAUGAAAAUUAACUCCUGUUUCUCUGGUGCUUGACACUGUUGAAAUUUCCAAAUCAUCUUUGUUUCCCCUUUCCAAAUUAUUGUCGGCAAGUCCAGCGUUCACACGCUAUCUUGCUUAAGGGGCGGAAUAGUGUAGACGGGUCAAUGGGGAUGGAAAAAUUGUAACUUGAUGGGCUCUCACCGGAAGGAUAGUCGGCGGAUAUCAAGUAUAAAUAUCAACAGAAAAUUGUAUUGGAAAAACUUUUACAUCUAGGACAGUAGUUAAAGAUUAUUUUUAAAUUUUUUUGUAUUUAUUUGUUAUUAAAAAAAUUAUUCAAUGAAAAACAAAAACACUUUCCAAUCAAUAAAAAAUUUGAUUUGAUUUUCAAGAAAGUAUUUUCCUUUUAUUUUAAAUAAAAAAACAUUUUUAAAAAAUUAUAAAAAAUUUAAAAAUAUUAUAUUAUUUAAAAUUUUCAAAUCAUGUUUGUUUUACUUUCCUAAUUAUUGUGGAAAGUCCAACGUUCACAUGCUAUCUUGCUUAAGGGGCUGAAUAGUACUGUAGAUGGGUCCAUGGGAAUGGAAAAAUUGUAACGCUAUGGGUUUGUGGGUAAUAUUUGGUAUUGUAUUUUAGAAAUGUUUUUUAAAAAAAUUGCAAACUCCUUCCUCUUUUAUCCUCAAAUUCGGCUAGAACAUUAACAAUCAAUGGCAUGAUCUAUCAUACGCUCCAAAAUGUCGGAAUGUAUAAUACACUCAUUAUUCAUUACUGCAUUAAUGGAGGAAAUUCUGAGUUUCCAUGCAUGAGUCAGUCCAGCAAUGGUCGAAUUUCAUGGCAAUGCUAAGAAUAACAGUAGCUGUCUAGCUAGGAAGAUUGCGAGUAACAUUGUUAUUUGGUAACCAAGAAAAAAAUUAUUAUCAUAUAUGUCGCACCCGACAUCGCGGCGGCCCACAAAAUAAAUUCUUGAAUAUGGAAAAAGAACAGAUUUCUGGCAUCUUGUUCUUUUAGGGAAAAAGGUCUUGUUUAAGGAGUCGCCACCUAGUAUUAUGGUCACUAGGAACCCUAACUGGUCAACAGAGAUUCUAUGGUACGAAACUGGUUACGUAAAAGGAAAAAUAUUAUCACCCCUUAAACAUUCUGCCUGAGGCAGACUACAUUGAUGGUUUUGUCUUAAAUUACUAAAUGUUUAUUAGUUUACGCUAUGAUAAUUUGCUUAUAAUAUUCCUGAAUCUGGCGUCAGUGAAUAUUCAACUACGAAUAUCUGCAACUCUGAUGUUGGUAAAUAUUAUGUAGCUAUAAAAACAAUUAGAUCAAUAUUUUUUAUUCCCUACUCUAGCGCUAGUAAAUAAAUAAAUAAAAAUAAAUUUAUUUUUAAGCAUGCACAUGUUUUUUUUUGUUUUUUUAGCUAAAUAAAAUAAAAUACAACGAAUAAAAAUAAUAUAAAUUUAAACCGGUAUUUUUAUUCCUGACUCUGGCGUCAGUGAAUAGACCAAUAAAUUUACAUUAUUUUUAUUCAUUCAUACACAUUUUUUAUUUUUUUUAUUUUUUCUACUUUUUCUAUUUUUCUGUUUUUUUAUUUUUUUGGGGGCUGGGCCCAGCUCAGCCCACAUGGGCUGGGCUGGAUCCAGCCAGCCCGGCCCGGUCACUGGCCCAAGCCAGUGACCCGGCUGGGCAAACAACACGCGUGUCUAAGUGUUCAGUGAAUUAAAAUUCACAUGAACAGUAUAGCAUGAAUUAAAACUGAAAGGCGAGAAGAGAUGAAGAAAAACUUACUUGUGGUCUACCGCUCCUGAAGAUGAAGACGAAGUUGAGGGCGGUUGGUGCUCAUUAGGUUCAGCUAGCAUAGCAUUCACGAGGCCACCAGUGCUGGUGCCUGAAAUCACAUCAAACUAGUCUGCAAGUCUUGCGUCUGCACCAUCCAGCUUCUGGUGCAGCUGCGGGGUAAAGACGAAGACGAUGGUGACGACCGGUUAGCUCUGGCCGGACGAUGUCUUCUCCCUCCUCGUUUCCUGCCUGUCUCGAUGGUGUCUGGAGGCUGGUUGCUGAAGACUGUGAAGACGAUGGUCAAUGCCGGUUCUCGUCUCUGCGCUUUCGUCGGCUGGGUUGAGUUUGCGUCUCCUUUUCUCCUGGUUUUUAUAUUCUGUCACCUUCAGUUCUGAGAUGAAGGGACAAAGACGAUGGUGGGGCUGAUCCUCGUCUCUGUGUCGUUCCUCUGCUUUUUCUCUCCUUCCCGGUUUCUUUGUUCUUUUUUUUUUUUUUGUGUUAUUGGUCCCCUUUUCAGUCCAGUUCCUCCUGUGCUCCCUUCGUGUUCUAGGUUCUCUCCCCGUUUUUUCCCCCCGUUUAAGGUUUCUUGCACUGCUCGCUCUUCUGUUUUUUCUGUCUUCUUCCUUUUGUUCUCGUGUCUUUUUCUCUCCGUUCAGCCUUGACUCUGCCUUUUUCUUCCUCCUUUUCGUCCUCCCAGUUUUUCUUUUUUUCUCUGUAGCCUUCUCUUGCUUAUAAAGCCAGAGAAUGGCCUUUCUUCACGCGUUCGUGCCUCACGAUCGUGAGGCACGAACGCCUCUGUUUCUUAGAGAAGAAACAGGGGCAGAAAACUUGCUCCCCUCUGUACAGUUUCUGUUCUUGCGUCUUGUUGUGUUCCCGGUGUUACUUCCUCUCUGUAAGCAGGGAAACGGAGACGUGAUGGAGGACUGGUGGGCUAGUUGCUUUCUUCCUCCGCUGCUCGUGGCCUCUCUCCGUGGCCUCCUCUGUUUCUUUGAGAAGAAACAGAGGAACGAAAGUUUUUUUCUAUUCUUCCCCCGGUUCUGUGUUUCUCUAGUGGCUUUUCGGUUAUGUCAUUUUCCCCCCCCUUUGCCGGUUCUCCUUCUCUGGUUUUUAUAACCAGAGAAUGCCAUGCGGUUGCAACUUCUGUGUUUCUCUAGUGGCUUUUCGGUUAUGUCAUUUUUCCCCCCCUUUGCCGGUUCUCCUUCUCUGGUUUUUAUAACCAGAGAAUGCCAUGCGGUUGCAUGGAUUUUAAUGCAAUAAAGGCAUGCGUUUUCUUCUUGUUUUCCGGUGAAGAUGAUGAAUAGUGUUCUUUCAAACGACGCCGUUUUGGUAUGUGAGGUGGCCAUUUGCGUUUUGGCCCAUGAAGUUCCGAAAAGUUUAUAAUUAAGCCCCUAGUUUAAACUGUAAUUGCCCCUGCAUUUCGGUGUCUUUUACAAGUUAGUCCUUGGACUUUAAUCUGCUGCAAUUGUGCCCCCAAUUAACCCCAAACUUUUCUUUUUCUUCAAUUAAGUCCCUGAUUUCAUUAAUUUAAUUAAUUCCAAGCUCAAUUAAGUCUCAAAACUUAUCAAUUCUCCAAUUAAACCCUUGAUUGGAUGAAUUAAGUCUCAAAACUUAUCAAAUAUUCAAUCAAACCUUUAACUUGAUUAAUUAAAUUAAUUCCAAGUUUAAUUAAAUUAAUUCCAAGUUUAAUUAUAUUAAUUCUAAAGUUUAAUUAUAUUAAUUCUAAAGUUUAAUUAAACCCCAACCCAAAUUUUAAUUCAUUCUUUAUUUUUUUCAUUUUUUUCAUUUUUUUAUCCUUUUCAGUAAAUAAAAUAAUAAUAAUAAUAAUUAAAAUAAAAUGGUUAAAAAUUGAAUUAUGACAAUAUAUAUCAAAAAUAUAUAUCAAAGCACAUGAUCAACUUACUGGAACUGAUGGGGAGAUCAUAAUGAAUUGUAGAAAGGACUAUGGGUUUUAAUCUUGCUCUUUCUACAUUCUCUUUCUACAUUCAAAACCGAAACAAGGAGCACAGUUUUGUCAAGUUUGAAAAUAUAGCAUGAUCAUUUCUUAAUUAAUUGUUGUUUCACUUAUCUUUCAUAACAGGCAUUUUUGACAUACUUUAAAAAAAAAAAAAAAAAGCCAACCCAUGAACAUAGUCUACAUCAAAUUACAAAAUUUAUUGCUCAAAUCUAUAGUUGAAGAGAAGAAGUUAAACCCCUCAAAAAACUGGUCAGUCGACCACACUAACUGUAUGUGAGAACAGAUCUUCCAAACUGAGUGUGUCAAAUUCCUUUGGCAGAGAAGGCCACUUAGUUGCAAGCUCCGAAGAAAUUCUUCCCAUUGUAGGUCGGGAUUGCGGAUUGGGAUGCAAGCAUGCAAGUGCUAUCUUCAUGAUAUGGACAACACCCUCUGCUGCUCCUUUUUUAGGAAGUGAGAUGCGUUGGUCAAGCACAUCCUUCAACAAUGUCU
rnacentral:lncRNA from 1 species